UUGGGCCCCAUGCAAUUUGAGCAGGCGUAAACCCCGCCAGAGCCGGAAGGCAGCAACGGUAGCGACCGCCAAAUGUGCCGUGGGUCGCCUGA
rnacentral:SRP_RNA from 1 species